rnacentral:rRNA from 1 species
GAUGAACGCUGGCGGCGUGCCUAAUACAUGCAAGUCGAACGCUGAAGGAGGAGCUUGCUCUUCUGGAUGAGUUGCGAACGGGUGAGUAACGCGUAGGUAACCUGCCUGGUAGCGGGGGAUAACUAUUGGAAACGAUAGCUAAUACCGCAUGACAACAGUUAUUGCAUGAUAACUGUUUAAAAGGGGCAACUGCUCCACUACCAGAUGGACCUGCGUUGUCUUAGCUAGUUGGUGAGGUAACGGCUCACCAAGGCGACGAUACAUAGCCGACCUGAGAGGGGGAUCGGCCAAACUGGGACUGAGACACGGCCCAGACUUCUACGGGGAGCAGCAGGAGGGAAUCUUCGGCAAUGGACGGAAGGCUGACCGAGCAACGCCGCGUGAGUGAAGAAGGGUUUCGGAUCGUAAAGCUCUGUUGUAAGAGAAGAACGAGUGUGAGAGUGGAAAGUUCACACUGUGACGGUAUCUUACCAGAAAGAGACGGCUAACUACGUG